rnacentral:rRNA from 1 species
UACGUAGGCAGCGAGCGUUGUUCGGAAUUACUGGGCGUAAAGAGUGUGUAGGCGGUGCUCUAAGUUCGGUGUGAAAUCUCCUGGCUCAACUGGGAGGGUGCGCCGGAAACUGGAGUGCUUGAGCGUGGGAGAGGAAAGCGGAAUUCCUGGUGUAGCGGUGAAAUGCGUAGAUAUCAGGAGGAACACCGGUGGCGAAGGCGGGUCUCUGGGCAAUAACUGACGCUGAGGAGCGAAAGCGUGGGGAGCGAACAGG